GACCUUUCGUGAGCAAGGGAAAUAAAAGAGGUCUGCAGACUGCAUCUCAAAUUAGUCAUAGGCCACUUGCACCUGCUAUUACACGGGACCAAAGAGCUACAGAUGAACCACUUCCGUAUGGUGAUACUUCACGGCAUCUCGGGUCAGCUGUAAAGCAGUUAGCUCCACCUAAUUUACAAGCUCAAUUGACCGUGGAUAAGGUCAAUGUGGGCAAUGCUUCUGGGAUGCCAUCUGUUCAGUUGAAAAGAAAUUUGGG
rnacentral:misc_RNA from 1 species